UUUCAAGGCUUUGGAAAAAUGUUAGCUAAGUGGGCUCAACAAUAACAGUUAUAAUGUUAGUAGGACUGUGUUUACUUGAUAAUAAUAAAAAGAUUAGUGUCCUAAAAUGGAAACCUCUGCCUCUGGACAAGUGACAGGAUGCACCAGACGUGGUGGCCACAACUUGUGCAAGAGCCUGGGAUGGAUCAAGAUGUCCAGCGUGUCUCACAGAAGAACAGGAAAACAGAACCCAGGCCUAAUGAAUUUCUCUGUAAUGGUGAAACUCUUCCUCCCACUGACUAAUGUGGGAGGAAGAGUUUCUGCAUGACAGUAAAGUUGGUAUGUGGAGGAGGGAGCGAGAAGAGACAAAGAGAAGAGGGAUACAAGGGAGAGACACAAAGAGAAAAAUACGCCUGCACAACUUGUCUGAACUGAGGAGCGGUCUCAUGACUUAAACAUUCUGGGGGAUAAAAUAUGCCCACACUGCAGGGAUUCUUUUCCCAGAAA